GACGAACGCUGGCGGCGUGCUUAACACAUGCAAGUCGUACGGUAAGGCCCUUUCGGGGGUACACAAGUGGCGAACGGGUGAGUAACACGUGAGUAACCUGCCCACAACUUUGGGAUAACGCUAGGAAACUGGUGCUAAUACUGGAUAUGUGCCCCUGCUGCAUGGUGGGGGUUGGAAAGCUCCGGCGGUUGUGGAUGGACUCGCGGCCUAUCAGCUUGUUGGUGGGGUAGUGGCCUACCAAGGCGGCGACGGGUAGCCGGCCUGAGAGGGUGACCGGCCACAUUGGGACUGAGAUACGGCCCAGACUCCUACGGGAGGCAGCAGUGGGGAAUAUUGCACAAUGGGCGCAAGCCUGAUGCAGCAACGCCGCGUGCGGGAUGACGGCCUUCGGGUUGUAAACCGCUUUCAGCAGGGACGAAGCUUUUUGUGACGGUACCUACAGAAGAAGCACCGGCUAACUACGUG
rnacentral:rRNA from 1 species